AGAACGAACGCUGGCGGCAUGCCUAAUACAUGCAAGUCGAACGGCAGCACGGCAGAGCUUGCUCUGUGGGUGGCGAGUGGCGGACGGGUGAGGAAUACAUGGGAAUCUGCCCAGUCGUGGGGGAUAACGUAUGGAAACGUACGCUAAUACCGCAUGCGCCCUUCGGGGGAAAGCCGGGGACCUUCGAGCCUGGCGCGAUUGGAUGAGCCCAUGUCGGAUUAGCUAGUUGGCGGGGUAACGGCCCACCGAAGGCGACGAUCCGUAGCUGGUCUGAGAGGAUGAUCAGCCACACUGGAACUGAGACACGGUCCAGACUCCGUACGGGAGGCAGCAGUAGGGAAUAGUUGGACAAGUGGGCGCAAGCCUGAUCCAGCCAUGCCGCGUGUGUAGAAGAAGGUCCUUCGGGUUAGUAAGCUACGUUUUGGUACCGAAAGUAAAAGCGUACGUAGGGUUAAACCACCCGUGGUACGUU
rnacentral:rRNA from 1 species